AUUGAACGCUGGCGGCAGGCCUAACACAUGCAAGUCGAGCGAGCGGCGGACGGGUGAUUAAUGUAUGGGGACUGCCCGAUAGAGGGGGAUAACCACUGGAAACGGUAGCUAAUACUGCAUAUUAUCGGAUAACCCAUGUGGGAUUAGCUAGUAGGUGAGGUAAUGGCUCACGUAGGCGACGAUCCCUAGCUGGUCUGAGAGGAUGAUCAGCCACACUGGGACUGAGACACGGCCCAGACUCCGACGGAGGCAGCAGGGGGGAAUGUUGCACAAUGGGCGCAAGCCUGAUCCAGCCAUCCCGCGUGUAUGAUGAAGGCCUUCGGGUUGUAAAGUACUUGUGGCAGAGAAGCGGUAUCUGCAGAAUAAGCACCGGCUAACUACGUGCCAGCAGCCGCGGUAAUUC
rnacentral:rRNA from 1 species